GCGGUGGGCGGCUGCCUCGGCCCCGGAUGGCUGUCUCCACAGAGGGCUGGCACUGGACCCUGCCUGGGGCACCCCACUUGAACCCCUACUCCCGGCCUCAGCUCUGGGACUCUGAACCCAGCACCUGCAAAGAGCCUGGCUGUGGGGACCCUUGGCUGCAGCAUCACAUUUAACCCUCCUUGGAAUGCUACAGGGAGCAUCCAGCAGACGGGAAGACAGAUGAUGCUGGAGACUGAGGAGCGACCUGCUGGAAGGAGAACAGUCCUUGGGGCGGAAUUCUGAGUGGGAUCCAACACAUUCAACAGCCGAUUGUGGAAUGAACAAACAACAGCUCAGCGCUUCCUUCUCCAAUGGGAUUAACUCUGCUUUCUCCUGCCCAGAGGGGGGGUUGGCCGCAGAGGAGCCAGGACAGUGCUCUGUCCCCUGUGUUCCAGUCCACAUCCCCCUCACCCCCGCCUGUCCUCAUGGUCUACGUGCCCAUGGGGAUACACUGGCCUGUGCAUUGCUUCCUGCUGGGUCUCAGACUCGGGGCUGUGGCAGAUGGGGACAGGGCCUGUCCUGGCACCAUCUGCCAAUUCCCUUUGUACUCCCAGUCCAUGAGGAAGUUGACUCUGCCCUGAAAACGACUGUUCCUGUGGUCCAUAAACAAAGGAAUGGUUAUUCUGAGAGCUGAUUGACAUAUGCAUGGGCAGAUGUUUUAUAAACUGCAUUCUCUACAAACUGAAGGGGCAAAUGUGAUGGAUUCCAAGGCUCCACAAGACAUUAUCAUGGUCAAUGUCCAGCAGACCAGAUAUGGGGUGAUCAAUUGUUUGAAGGUAAAAGGUAAGAGCCAUGAAGCCAAGUUACAAGAACAUCUGUGUUUACUGGGACAUUGGAGAGCCUUAGCUCAUGGAUAUAUAAGGCGACUUGGGCAGCAUCAGCCUUAUAGGGCUGAAAGGCAACCCCCUGGGGCAGUAUCCUUAAUGCGGCAAUUUAUUAGACAUGGUGAGAGCAGGUCACACUGUUCCUGGGAGUGGAGUGGCGUGAUCAUGGCUCACUGCAGCCUCAACCUCCUCCCCAGGUUCAGGUGAUUCUCCCACCUUAGCCUCCCGAGUAGCUGUGACUACCGGCUGGGGCCACCACGCCCAGCUAAUUUUUGUAUUUUUAGUAGAGACGGGGUUCCACCAUAUUGCCCAGGCUGGUCUCAAACUCCUGGCCUCAAGCGAUACACCUGCCUCGGCCUACCAACAUGUUGGGAUUACAGGUGUGAUCUGGUUCUUUCUGAUUGAGGAGUCUGUCUGGGCUCAGGAGGAGGGUCUUGUCUGCAUAAGAAGAUGGAUGAAACUUUCUCAGUUCCUUCCUGACACCAACAAGAAGAAACAGAGUGUAGCAUAAGCACACGGAACACUGGUCAAAAGGACAGGUUCUAGUCCUCACCACACCAUGAACUGGCUGUGUGAUCUUGGGCAAGUCAUUUCUCUUCUCUGGUCCACUCAGUGUCUCCAUUUGACAUACUGGAGAAUUGAAUUUAUCUGUCUCUAGGAUCUUUCCCUUUCACCUCCUUCCAUGGUUUUCUAAGUACCAUCUCUUUAUUUCUUACUCGCACACAAUCUCACCUCUGCCUUCUAGCUAGAAUGCAUGUUUCUGAGGCCAAGCAUCUUCCCCGAGUGCUCCCUAGUAAGUGCCUCACACAUGUGGGAUCAGAGCCUGUGGUUGCAUAGCAGUAAAAUUAGCAUUACCUGCAGGUGGGGGUGAGGGGUUUCACCCCAUCCUCCAGCUUCUUAGAGGAGAAAAUAUUUUAAUGGUUGGAAACAACCUGGAUCUACACAAAAGGGCAUGAAAACAGCCACUUAAAUUCUACGUGCACUUGGCACUGCAAAGAUCAGAAAACUCCCAUCAAGAUAGAUGAUACGAAGAAAAAAAGCAUGAGCACUUUGCUUUAAUUUAACUCAAGAUGACACCUCCAUCAUCCCGUGGUCUGUAGUCUCGCGAGGGUCCCCGCUCCCUUUUGCACAUGCGUGGUGUGUGUUCACACGGACUCUUCUACAGCUUUGCAUCGCUGGGUUCACAGCAUUCCUCCUCUCCCUCAUUGGUUCCACACAUUCAGCCAUAGCUGUUUGUGACUUCUCUCCUUCUGCAAUUGUUUGAAAACAGUGUCAGAGCAUGGCUCCUUUAUCUUGCUGUGAUUGCUUUAUUUAUUUAUUUAUUUUUUUGAGAUGGAGUCUUGCUGUGUUGCCCAGGCUAGAGUGCAGUGGCACGAUCUCAGCUCACUGCAACCUUUGCCUCCUGGGUUCAAGUGAUUCUCCUGUCUCAGCCUCCCGAGUAACUGGGAUUAUAGGCAUGCACUACCACGCCUGGCUAAUUUUUUGUAUUUUUAGUAGAGACAGGGUUUCACCAUGUUGGCCAGGCUGCUCUUGAACUCCUGACCUCAAGUGAUCCGCCCACCUUGGCCUCCCAAAGUGCCGGGAUUACAGACAUGAGCCACAGUGCCUGGCCAUUGCUGCGAUUGGUUCUAAGAGUCUUUCUGCCCUUUUUUCUCUCUUCCUGCUAUGCUAACCCUCACGGGACUCAGAUUUCUUGGGAAAGUUGCACAGGAAUCAUCUACUUUGCAGGGUUAGAUAUCAGCCUUGCCUUGAAAGGCUGAGCAUCAUAAACAGUAACACACAGUCUGUUUUCUCUCCCAUACUCCCACCCUCCCACACCUCAUACUGAAUAUUUAAGAGGUAUUGAGCUUUGGGGAAAAGAAGGGAGGAGAUGUUGGGGAGGAGGUGUUCCUUGAUAUGAGAAAGCCCAUUUCCAGAGAAUCAGAAGACUUGAAUUCAAUUCUGCUGUCAGGGGUCAUGGGGAAGUCACUUUAUCAUCUGGGACUCAGUUUCCCCAUAUGAAAAAUUGUCAUGAAAAUAAGUAAACCAUAAAGUCCAUUUUAAACUCCAAAAUAGAGAGACCCUCCCUCUCCUUUUCUAAGACCUUACUUAGGGUGAGGUCCCAUCAAGGUUCUUUAUAACGUACCCCUUUUAUUUAUUUGAGAUAGAAUCUUGCCCUUGUUGCCCAAACUGGAGUGCAGUGGCACCAUCUUAGCUCACUGCAGCCUUGAACUCCGGGGCUCAAGCAACCCUCCCACCUUAGCCUCCAGAAUAGCUGGGACUAUGGGCAUGUACCAUGCCCAGCUAUUUUUUUUUCCAUAGAGAUGGGGUCUCCCUGUGUUGCCCAGGCUGGUCUCGAACUCCUGGCCUCAACUGAUCCUCCUGCCUCGGCCUCCCAAAGUGCUGGGAUUAUAGGCACGAGCCAACAGUCCCAGUCAUGCACUCCAUUUAAUCCUCAAAACAGCCCUUUGAGGGUGGUGUUAUUAGCCUCAUUUUACAAAUGGGGCAACCAAGGUUCAGAGAGGUUAAUGGACCUGCCCAGUGAAAAAGUUUAUGAAGCCAGAGACCAAAUCCAGAAUUUUCUAACUCCAGCACCCAUGUUUCUAACUCUAGAGAUUUUUCUAACUCUACCCUCUCAAAUAUGAUGAGACUUUGGUGGUACUCUCAGGAAAACUGCUGAGAAAAUGUUGCUUGAUUUCCCUGCCCCCAUUUGCACAAUGGGUUCUAUGUCAUGGAGAACUUUCCUUUCAAAAAAUUUCCAAAGGACAAGUGAUGCAUUAUGUCUUCCAUUUUUGGCAACUUCACACAAUAACCUUAACAGCCUCUUGGCUUCCAUCUCCCAGGGAUGGCAUUUCAAGUAUGCCUGGUCAUGGAGUGCCUGUGGUUUAAAAUUUUAAUGGAAGACCCUUACCCCCAUCUGUCUUGAUUCGCUGUUGCCCUGUCCCUGGCUUCCUGGUGGUCACUGAGCUCUGCGGGCCCCCCUUCCCCCAGCCCGUCUCCUCCUGCCAUUGAGAGGGGCUGUUCUCUUUCCCAAGCGGCAAGCCCCUGAUUCUUUUAGCACAGCCAAUGGGCUCCACUGGGGCUUUCAAGCUUGCUGGCAAUUUUGGAUGUCAGCAGCUGGGAAAAUCAAGCUUAAUAUUUCAUGACAUUACAAAGUCAGUUUGUUCUAUUUUCAUCCCAGAUAGAGUGAAAAAGCAGUGUUCUCAUCAGGAGACUCUCCCAAAAAAGUGGGAGGCAGUUGGUCUGGGAGCCACAGCAGGUUGGCGGGGAGUACUGGGCAGGCGGUCAGCAUUUGGAUGCUCUGGUUUUGGCUUGACAGCCAACUAGCAGUUGACCUUCGGCGAGUGAUUCUCUCUCUGAGCUUUGACUUCCUCCUGCACAAAUAAACGAUCUCUCAGACCUUGUCAAGAAUAACUUUAGACUUUGCUGGGAAUGCAAUAUCUUCUGACAAGGAGGAGUUGGCUGGAACAGCCUGGGCUCUGUACCUGUCCCUCAGAUGUCCUUUGGUGCUUUAGCCCAGUGACUCAUCGAUCUCCCAGCCAUGGUUGAAGACAUGCCUGUUUCCCCUUCGCCAUCUGCCAUGACUGUAAGCUUCCUGAGGCCUUCCCAGUCAUGCUUCCUGUAUAGCCUGUGGAAACAUGCGCCAAUUAAAACCUCUUUUCUUUAUAAAUUACCUAGUCUCAGGUAUUUCUUUAUAGCAAUGCAAGAAUGGACAAAUACAGACAUCUUACGGAAAAAAGUUUAUCAAGUGGAAAGCUCUAUUGUGUACCCUCCUUGAAAAUAGAUGACCUGUUUUCUCAUCUUUCUCUUAGCGUGCUGUGGUCUUCACAUGCAGAAAGAGGAACAAGUUAAGUAGUGGUUGUCUUUGAAUAUUUUCUUAUUGAAUGGUUUCUGGCCUGGCUCAGUCCCCUUAACAUGUCAUCCUAAAGAAAUAACGAAAUAUCUUUUCCUUACAAGGCUUUCUAAAGUAUGACUUAUAAGUCAGAAACCACAAGAGAAAAUAUUAAUAAGUCCAAUAAUGUUAAAAUUGACUUAGCUAAAUGCAUCAUAAACAAGAUAAAAAAAACAUCAAACUGGAAAGAUGUUUGCAGGCUAUGUCACAGAGGAACGGAUGGUUUCUCUAAUAUAUAAAAAGUUCCAACAAACUGAUAAGAAAAGUGGACAAAGAAUACAAAAAGUCCAUAGAAAAGGAAGUAAAACUGCUUCUUAAGCAUAUGAAAAUUUACUUAGUCUCACGAGUAAGAAACAUAAAUUUUAAAAAACAUGGAGAUAGGCUGGGUGCAAUGGCCCACGCCUGUAAUCCCAGCACUUUGGGAGGCUGCUGCAGGUGGAUCAUUUGAGGUCAGUUUGAAAUCAGACUGGCUAACAUGAUGAAACCCUAUCUCUACUAAAAAUACAAAAAUUAACCAGGCAUGGUGGCAGGUGCCUGUAAUCCCAGCUACUAGGGAGGCAGAGGCAGGAGAAUUGCUUGAAUCUGGGAGGCAGAGGUUGAAGUGAGCCAAGAUUGUGCCACUGUACUCCAGCCUGGGCAACAGAGCAAGACUCCCUCUCAAAAAAAAACCACAAAAAAACAAAAACAAAAAAAGCCAGAAAACCCCCGCAAAACAUGGAGAUAAUCUUUUUCGUUUUUUCUGGGUGGCAAAGAUUAAAAAGUUAGAAAAUGCCAAGAUAGCGAGAGGUGUGUAUGAGUGUGAUAUUGGUGGUAGCGUAAAUUGCUAUAACUCUCUUGGGGGGGAAUUUGGCAAUAUCUUACCAAUAUCCUGCCAAUAUCUUUCUUACUCAUAAGUCAAAACUGUGCUUGUUAAAUCCACAAAUGAUAAUGUUUUUCCAUGUAUAUUGAAGUUUCUUAAGUAGUGUUUUAUAGAAUAAGUUUUCCUAAUACAUCAUUGAAGAGGUUUUCAGGAGCAUAGUUUGAAAAAUACUGACAGGUAUAAUGUAGGAAGUAGUUAGAAUAUAUCUGGGAGCUACCAACACCAUUCAGGUCUAGCUAUAGUGAUGUUUGCUGCCCCUCUUAGGAAGGGAAACCUUUCACAAACCUCCACCUUCAUUUUCUCCUCUUGCAAAUGCUUUUUGGUCAGAAGCAUAAAUGCCAGAGCUGCAAAAGUGAUUCAAAACCCAAGAGAACUCCCUGGGGAUAGUCUGUUCUCUCUGUAGCUGGGACAAGGAGAUGGCAGGCCCUUCUCUUCCCAAGAACCUCCCUGAUGUGCAACGAGAGGCCACAGACUUAUCUUGCAGCAUUAAUUAGGAGAGAUGCAACAUUUGGGGACAAUCUGUUCAAGAAACCCUGCACAGGACACGUUUUCAUCCUGGGCUCUGGGGCUGAUAUGUGCCAGUGGCCUAACUCCACACACCUCGAUGGAAUUCUCUGGCAGAACCGCUCCAAAAUGUGUGGAAAAAUCUGUUUUUCUGGAUUCUCCUUCUUUGCUUCAAG
rnacentral:lncRNA from 1 species